UCUUCUUUUUUUGGGUAUACCGCUUUGAGAUUUGAUUAGCUGGCGUAAUAACUGCAAAUCGAUUUUAGAAUUUCCCUCAUUGUUUUCCCAUCAUGGUUUUCUCUUUCAGGAGGCUCAUCUCGUUGAUUUUUCUGUGCAUUCCUUUCAUAUUUUACAUUGAGAUGUUUAUGUAAAGCGUUCUUUUCUAACCUAUGGCUUAGGGCAAAAGGGGCAUGAUGGCUUGACGUCACCCUCACCUUCCUCUAUCCAUCUUUUUAUUAUCUUGGAUGGAAUAGGAGUUAAUGCCAUCAGGUAUUUUGGGAUUCUCAUAUGGCAUUCAAUAAGGGGAGACAUAUUAUGAAAAUGUCAUUCUAAUAGCAAAUGAAUUGGUGGAUUCUAGAUAAAAACAAAGCAAAUGGGGAAUUAUUUGCAAAUUAGAUGUAGAGAAGACAUACGGCCAUGCCAACUGGAGCUUCUUACUCAAUAUGUCUACAGAGGUUGUGUUGCUGUCGUGUAACUUGAAACAUCUCUAGAGCUUCCUUUCAUGAUAAUCUACUAAUCUAGGGGAUAGAAUAGAAUAUAUAUGUUGUUGGGUUGUGUCUUCUUUGAAAUGUAUGAACACUUUUGUGGCUUGUGUGUUAGCGAUCCUGUGCUUUAUGCCUGGCAUUUUUCCUUGAGUUGAUCAGUCUACUAGAAAGGUAAUUGAAAGCUGUAUGUGUGUGAAUCUCACAAGUAAAAUUUCGUGUUACUCCUAUCAUAUCUUCUGUAAGAAUUGGUGAUAUACUGAUAUAUACAGUGGAAAACCGCAAAGCUCCUUCACUUCUACAGGUCAUUGCAUCAGUGAUAUCUUGCAUUUGUUUUACUAGAGGAAUGUUUGGCUUAUGUUUUUUUAACAGAUCUAUGGACAUUAUACUUCAGUGGCUAGGACUUCUCUUUUCCUCUUUGUACUUAAAAGAGAGGGUCUAUUAAAUGAAGUGCAUUCUUUUCUAAAGUCAUGAUGCUACUACUCCCAACUUGUUUAAAUGGUAGUUAAACUAAUUUUGAUCUUGAAGAUUGCACUUGUCAUGUCCAUUUGUAUUUAUGUUUGUUUGUGCUUGUGUCUGCCUCAAAAUCUUAUUUCCAGAUUCUUGCUGCAAUUAUCAGAGUACCUUCGUGAAUAUAAUGUAGUGUUACUGCAUUGGAGAGUGUGUGCUAAU